GCGGUACCGGUUCACGCCUGCGGGCGACCCGGCGACC
rnacentral:ncRNA from 1 species